rnacentral:rRNA from 1 species
UACGUAGGGGGCUAGCGUUGUCCGGAAUCAUUGGGCGUAAAGCGCGCGUAGGCGGCCCGGUAAGUCCGCUGUAAAAGUCAAAGGCUCAACCUUUGAAUGUCAGUGGAUACUGCCGGGCUAGAGUCCGGAAGAGGCGAGUGGAACUCCUGGUGUAGCGGUGGAAUGCGCAGAUAUCAGGAAGAACACCGACGGCGAAGGCAGCUCGCUGUGACGGUACUGACGCUGAGGCGCGAAAGCGUGGGGAGCGAACAGG